rnacentral:rRNA from 1 species
AAAAUAGUUAUUAUUAGUAUUAUUAUUAGUAUAAUUGUAAAAUAACAAAAAAAAUUUAUAUUUUUAUUAAUUUAUGUGAAAAAAUUAAAUAUAAUUAUAGUUAAUUUGUAUUGUGAAAGAUUUAAUUUUUUUAAUUAAUAGAAUAAUUAAAUUUUAGUACCUUGUGUAUCAGGGUUUAUUAAUUAAAAUUUAUUAUGUAUAAAUUUCUCGAAUUUAAAAGAGUUAUAAUUUUAUAUUUUUUAUUGUUGAAUAAAUAUUAUUAAUAAAAUUAUAGAAGCGAAACACUAUUCGAUUUUAAAUAUAUCUAGUUUCUAAAGAAAAAAAUUUAAUUUUAUUUUUAUUUUUAUUAUUAAUUUAAAUUUUUAAAUUAAUAUUAAUAAGAUUUUAUAUUUUAAGGGAUGAGCUUUAGAAUAAAAUAAUAUAAAUUGUAUUUAGAAAAGUUUAAUAAGUAGAAUUAUAAGUUUUUAUCUUUAAUAGUGUUUUAUCACUAGUUGAAUUUAGUAUAUUCUUUAUAUUUGUUUUAUAUAUUUUAUUUAGAUAAUAGUUUGAAUUUUAAAAAUUGUGAAAUAAUGAUAAAAUUAGUAUAAUUUUUUGUUUUAUUAUUAUAGAUAUAGAUAAAAGGUUUUUUAAAGGAAUUCGGCAAAUAAAUUUUUCACCUGUUUAUCAAAAACAUGGCUUUUUGAAAAUAAUUUAAAGUCUGGCCUGCCCACUGAGUUUUAAAUGGCCGCAGUAUCUUGACUGUGCAAAGGUAGCAUAAUCAUUAGUUUUUUAAUUGAAAGCUUGUAUGAAAGGUCGGAUGAGAAAAUAACUGUCUCUAUAAAAAUUUAUUAGAAUUUUAUUUUUAAGUAAAAAAGCUUAAAUAAUGAUAGAAGACGAGAAGACCCUAUAGAGUUUUAUAUUUAUAUAAUUUGAAAUUUUUAGUAUUUUAGCUUUUUUUUUAUUAUAUUAUUUGGUUGGGGUGAUUGAGAAAUUAAAAAAACUUUCUUUUUAUAAAUACAUUUAUUUAUGAAAAAAUGAUCCUUAUUUAAAGAUUAUAAGAUUAAAUUACCUUAGGGAUAACAGCGUAAUUUUUUUUGAGAGCUCAAAUCGAAAGAAAAGAUUGCGACCUCGAUGUUGGAUUAAAGUAAAUUUUUGGUGUAGAAGCUAGAAUAAUUAGGUCUGUUCGACCUUUAAAACUUUACAUGAUCUGAGUUCAAACCGGUGUGAGCC